GCCUAACACAUGCAAGUCGAACGAAGUAGCAAUACUUAGUGGCAGACGGGUGAGUAACAUGUAGGUAUCUGCCCUUUGGCCUGGAAUAACACGAGGAAACUUGUGCUAAUACCGGAUAAGUCUUUACGGAGAAAGCUUUAUGCACCAUUGGAUGAGCCUGCACUUGAUUAGUUUGUUGGUGGGGUAAUGGCCUACCAAGACUGUGAUCAAUAGCUGAUUUGAGAGGAUGAUCAGCCACAUUGGGACUGAGACACGGCCCAAACUCCUACGGGAGGCAGCAGUGGGGAAUCUUGCACAAUGGAGGAAACUCUGAUGCAGCGAUGCCGCGUGAGUGAAGAAGGCCUUUGGGUUGUAAAGCUCUUUCGUCGGGGAAGAAAAUGACUGUACCCGAAUAAGAAGGUCCGGCUAACUUCGUGCCAGCAGCCGCGGUAAUACGAAGGGACCUAGCGUAGUUCGGAAUUACUGGGCUUAAAGAGUUCGUAGGUGGUUGAAAAAGUUGGUGGUGAAAUCCCAGAGCUUAACUCUGGAACUGCCAUCAAAACUUUUCAGCUAGAGUAUGAUAGAGGAAAGCAGAAUUUCUAGUGUAGAGGUGAAAUUCGUAGAUAUUAGAAAGAAUACCAAUUGCGAAGGCAGCUUUCUGGAUCAUUACUGACACUGAGGAACGAAAGCAUGGGUAGCGAAGAGGAUUAGAUACCCUCGUAGUCCAUGCCGUAAACGAUGUGUGUUAGACGUUGGAAAUUUAUUUUCAGUGUCGCAGCGAAAGCGAUAAACACACCGCCUGGGGAGU
rnacentral:rRNA from 1 species